AGAGUUUGAUCCUGGCUCAGGAUGAACGCUGACAGAAUGCUUAACACAUGCAAGUCUACUUGAAUUCACUUCGGUGAUAGUAAGGUGGCGGACGGGUGAGUAACACGUAAAGAACUUGCCUUACAGUUUGGGACAACUAUUGGAAACGAUAGCUAAUACCGAAUAUUAUGAAUUUUCCGCAUGGAAGAUUUAUGAAAGCUAUAUGCGCUGUAAGAGAGCUUUGCGCCCCAUUAGCUAGUUGGUGAGGUAACAGCUCACCAAGGCGACGAUGGGUAGCCGGCCUGAGAGGGUGAACGGCCACAAGGGGACUGAGACACGGCCCUUACUCCUACGGGAGGCAGCAGUGGGGAAUAUUGGACAAUGGACCAAAAGUCUGAUCCAGCAAUUCUGUGUGCACGAUGACGGUCUUCGGAUUGUAAAGUGCUUUCAGUUGGGAAGAAAGAAAUGACGGUACCAACAGAAGAAGCGACGGCUAAAUACGUG
rnacentral:rRNA from 1 species